UCGAAAAUCAUUUUAUUGUGAAUGGGGCGUCAAGAAUCAGGGAUCUACCCCCAGAGCAAUUUUGUAGUCAUGGGUUUGUUCUGGGUAAGACCUCAGAGGCAGGUUUUGGGAAUGAAAUGUACAAGGUCUUAACUGCCGCGGCACUGAGUGUGAUGUUAAACCGGUCCCUUAUCAUUGGCCAAACCAGGCAUAUUGAGGUAAAUAUCCUUUCGGGA